rnacentral:rRNA from 1 species
AUUGAACGCUGGCGGCAUGCUUUACACAUGCAAGUCGAACGGUAACAGGCCGCAAGGUGCCGACGAGUGGCGAACGGGUGAGUAAUGCAUCGGAACGUGCCCAGUCGUGGGGGAUAACGCAGCGAAAGCUGCGCUAAUACCGCAUACGAUCUAUGGAUGAAAGCGGGGGACCGUAAGGCCUCGCGCGAUUGGAGCGGCCGAUGUCAGAUUAGAUAGUUGGUGGGGUAAAGGCUCACCAAGCCAACGAUCUGUAGCUGGUCUGAGAGGACGACCAGCCACACUGGGACUGAGACACGGCCCAGACUCCUACGGGAGGCAGCAGUGGGGAAUUUUGGACAAUGGGCGCAAGCCUGAUCCAGCAAUGCCGCGUGCAGGAAGAAGGCCUUCGGGUUGUAAACCGCUUUUGUACGGAACGAAAAGGCUCUGGUUAAUACCUGGGGCUCAUGACGGUACCGUAAGAAUAAGCACCGGCUAACUACGUGCCAGCCGCCGCGGUAAGAC